rnacentral:rRNA from 1 species
UACGUAGGGCGCAAGCGUUGUCCGGAAUUAUUGGGCGUAAAGCGUGCGCAGGCGGUGCGCCAAGCUCGAUGUGAAAGCCCCGGGCUUAACCUGGGAAUUGCAUUGAGGACUGGCGUGCUCGAGUGCGGCAGAGGGGGGUGGAAUUCCGCGUGUAGCAGUGAAAUGCGUAGAUAUGCGGAGGAACACCGAUGGCGAAGGCAAUCCCCUGGGCCUGCACUGACGCUCAUGCACGAAAGCGUGGGGAGCAAACAGGAUUGAGAAACCCCGG